AGACGGGACCCCGCACAAGCGGUGGAUCAUGUUGUUUAAUUCGAUGAUACGCGAAGAACCUUACCAGGUCUUGACAUCCCUUGCAAAGCUAUGGAGACAUAGUGGAGGUUAUCAAGGAGACAGGUGGUGCAUGGUUGUCGUCAGCUCGUGUCGUGAGAUGUUGGGUUAAGUCCCGCAACGAGCGCAACCCCUGUGGUUAGUUGCCAGCAAGUAGCGUUGGGCACUCUAGCCAGACUGCCGGUGAUAAAUCGGAGGAAGGUGGGGACGACGUCAAAUCAUCAUGCCCUUUAUGUCCUGGGCUACACACGUACUACAAUGGCCGUUACAACGGGAAGCGAAGGAGCAAUCCGGAGCAAAUCCCUUAAAGGCGGUCCCAGUUCAGAUUGUGGGCUGAAACUCGCCCACAUGAAGGCGGAAUUGCUAGUAAUUGCAGAUCAGCAUGCUGCAGUGAAUACGUUCCCGGGCCUU
rnacentral:rRNA from 1 species